GACGUGGGGGGCCAGCGUUGCUCGGAAUUACUGGGUGUGAAGGGUUCGUAGGCGGUGUAGCAAGUCGGGAGUGACAUCUCUGGGCUCAACCCAGAGACUGCUUCCGAAACUGCUGUGCUUGAGGGUGGGAGAGGUAAGCGGAAUUCCUGGUGUAGAGGUGAAAUGCGUAGAUAUCAGGAGGAACACCUGUGGUGUAGACAGCUUACUGGACCACUUCUGACGCCGAGACACGAAAGCGUGGGUAGCAAACAGG
rnacentral:rRNA from 1 species